ACUAUUUUGUAUUGGCUUUUGUUCUAUAUCUAUAACAAUAACUUCAUGCAAUUUUUUAGCAUUAUUUUUAGGUUAAUACUGACAAUGGUGAAUUAAAGAAAGUAAAAGUUGAUUCAAAAUAUCAGAGGACAAGAAUUGAGAGACAAGGAUCUUCAAGAUGAACAUGAAUCAUAUGAUACAACAUCAAAUUCACAAUUGGAUGCACAAAAUGGUGCAUUGGAACUAGAUCAAAACGAGGAGUUUACUAAGGAGAUGCUUACAUCUCAAAGGCAACAAAAUAAACGUGGGAGGACAGUGAUGAGGGAUGUGCAUGCAUUAGCUCCUGAUGACGUACCUGUAGUGCAAUUUAAUGAAAGAGGCUAGCCUUAUGGGGAUAUACAACCAGUUCUUGCCAAUUUUGUGGGUACUAUUGCUAGAAAUGGGAACUUAUUGCCCCAUAAUUUCUUGAUUGGAGAAACAUGCUCAAAAAACGCUUGAAUGAUGCAUGGAGAAAAGUGACUGCACGUUUUGAUAUUCCCGAUCGCCAUCGAGAUGUUAUUAUGCAAAUGAUGGGGGCAGCAUGGAGGCGAUGGAGGACUGAAAUCAAAGCUAAGUCUUAUGAUCUGAAUACUCCAUUGGAUGAGCUUGUUUCCAUUCGCCCAAUUCCUCAAAAGUUGACUCCUGAAGUUUGGGAAGCAUUGUGCCAUUACUGGAACAUUAAUGAGGUAGUAAAUAUAUUGAUUGUUUUUUUUUAUAUAUGACUAGUGUCAAGUUAAAUGCAAUUUUUUUAGAAAAUUUCAAAAAUUAAUCAAGAAAAUGCAAAGAAAAAAAGAGGGAGUCAUGCGCUGGGUUGUACAAAUAUUUCAUCCUUGGAGCAUAAAUUUGUAAGUAUCAAAUUGUGUUUUGUUUUUACAACUAGAUUCACAUAAUUCAUUUAUUGUGUAGAUCAUGAUAAUCCUAAACUAUUGAAUUUCUAUGAUUUUACUUAAUAUGUCAGGAUAGUGAUCGAUUAUGAUUGCUUUGCUACCCAAUAAUAUAAUUUUCUUUUUCGUGAUUAGUUACUUAUUUAAUUGAUAAAGAAUAUCAUUUGAUGUAUGUUUUGUGUUUUUUUGUACAAUAUUAUUAAUGUGAUGUAAUUAGUUAGAGUCAGAAUUUAUUUCAAUUAUAGAGAUGUGAAGUGCCUUAAAGUAGCAUAAAUAAAGUAAUAUUUCUUUGCGUGGUCUUUAUGCAUAUUUAGUUAGAAGGUUUUUUCAUUAAAAUCCUUCCAAUUCCUUUCAUAAUUCAUCUCUUUGAAUAUUCGUUCACGGAUAAAAAUCCAUAAUAUGUGUUAAUGUUACUUGACACUUGAUCUGAAAAUGAUUUUUCCAUAAGUAGUUUCAGGAAAAGGGGAGAAAACCUACUCGCAUUGAGAUAAUAAAAAUAAGUCAUCGAAGUAAAAAGAGAGGAGAUGCUCCUGUUGAUGAUGAAGUGAUCCGAGUUGAGACUUUACUAGAUGAAGCUGUGUGGCGUCGACUUCAAGACAAGCCUGAGGAAACUCAACCUAUAGAAGUGCAUGAGGACGCAUUUCGUGAUGUUUUUGGACCCGAACAUUCUGGCCGAGUUCGAUGUUUAGGUGCUGGUGCACUUCCUAGCCAAGUUUUCCUUGAGAUGUGUAAGCGCACAAUCUAUACACCAAGUUAUCACUCUAAUUCAAAUAUGACAGCUGAAUUCAAGGAAAUGCAAGAAAAAAUAAAAGAAAUGGAGGCACGGGAAGUACAAAGGCGGAUAAAAACAGAGCAAAUGAUAAGGAAAAUGCAUGACCAACAACUUCAAAAAUUUUUACAUAUUAUGCAGAGUAUGAUAUUCAGAGCUGUUGGGGGAUCUCGUGGCCCAUAAUUGUUACCGACACAGAUGGCGGCUAUAAUGGCAGAGAUUAUGCAACAAAAUAUAGAUGCUCCAUCAAAUGCAAAAGGAAAUGAUCCUACACCUCCACCACCAACAGAUCCAUCUAAUAAUUGGAUAAACUUUUUAGAGAAAAGUUUCUUUAAAUUAUGUUGCCACUUAUUAGUGCUAUUGUGUUGUGUUGUUUUGGGAUAUGCACAUUUUUGUAAGAGAAUUUCGUACUUGUUACUGAUAUGGUGGUGUU